rnacentral:rRNA from 1 species
UAGGGAAUCUUCGGCAAUGGACGAAAGUCUGACCGAGCAACGCCGCGUGAGUGAAGAAGGUUUUCGGAUCGUAAAACUCUGUUGUUAGAGAAGAACAAGGACGUUAGUAAUUGAACGUCCCCUGACGGUAUCUAACCAGAAAGCCACGGCUAACUACGUGCCAGCAGCCGCGGUAAUACGUAGGUGGCAAGCGUUGUCCGGAUUUAUUGGGCGUAGAGCGAGCGCAGGCGGUUUCUUAAGUCUGAUGUGAAAGCCCCCGGCUCAACCGGGGAGGGUCAUUGGGAACUGGGAGACUUGAGUGCAGGAGAGGAGAGUGGAAUUCCGUGGGAGGCGGUGAAAUGCGUAGAUAUAUGGAGGAACACCAGUGGCGAAGGCGGCUCGCUGGUCUGUAACUGACGCUGAGGCUCGAAAGGGUGGGAAGCAAACAGG